rnacentral:rRNA from 1 species
GAUGAACGCUGGCGGCGUGCCUAAUACAUGCAAGUCGAGCGAACAGACGAGGAGCUUGCUCCUCUGACGUUAGCGGCGGACGGGUGAGUAACACGUGGAUAACCUACCUAUAAGACUGGGAUAACUUCGGGAAACCGGAGCUAAUACCGGAUAACAUGUUGAACCGCAUGGUUUAACAGUGAAAGACGGUCUUGCUGUCACUUAUAGAUGGAUCCGCGCCGCAUUAGCUAGUUGGUAAGGUAACGGCUUACCAAGGCAACGAUGCGUAGCCGACCUGAGAGGGUGAUCGGCCACACUGGAACUGAGACACGGUCCAGACUCCUACGGGAGGCAGCAGUAGGGAAUCUUCCGCAAUGGGCGAAAGCCUGACGGAGCAACGCCGCGUGAGUGAAGAAGGUCUUCGGAUCGUAAAACUCUGUUAUUAGGGAAGAACAAAUGUGUAAGUAACUAUACACGUCUUGACGGUACCUAAUCAGAAAGCCACGGCUAACUACGUG